rnacentral:rRNA from 1 species
AAUGAACGCUGGCGGCGUGCUUAACACAUGCAAGUCGUGCGCGAAGGUGGCUUCGGCUGCCGGAGAGCGGCGAACGGGUGAGUAACACGUGGGUAAUCUGCCUGGGAGCGUGGGAUAACCUGGGGAAACUCGGGCUAAUACCGCGUACGUUGACGGGGCUGUGGUUCUGUCAAGAAAGCUGGCCUCUAUUUAUAAGCUAGCGCUCCCAGAGGAGCCCGCGGCUGAUUAGCUAGUUGGUGAGGUAAAGGCUCACCAAGGCAUCGAUCAGUA